AAACAGACCAAUGUUCCGGGUUUUGAUUCGUACAAUGUGUGGUGACCAUCAUUAGUCUGAAUAGGUAAGGUACAGUACAUCAACAAUGCAUUUCUCUGAAUCCAUCACUCCACACCACUGAAGUCUCAGCCAACAUCAUGGCAGCAUUGGGACUCCUCUGGCUUGUGAUCGCCACAGCAUCCAUCCUUGUCAAAUGUGAGGGUACAGAAUCUGAAGACAAAAAGAUCUACCCAGCAAAGAUCUUUGGACCAUCUUAUGUGACUGAAGGGGUAAAUGUCCAUUUUAAAUGUAGCACUACUGGCAUCAGAGGACCUGAGGACAAGUUACAUUUUUACCUUUGCAAGAAUGGAGUUGGGAUGAAAAUGACAGUUCUGGAGAAAGGGGAAGGUGACACCAUUUUCACCAUGAAGGAUGUUACAAGAGAAGACUCAGGCACCUACAGCUGUGUGUACACCAGAGAUAAACCUGUACCCAGUCACUUGAAGUCAACAGGGGAGAAUUUAAUCGUCUUUCAUGUCGAUGGAGGAUGGAAAGAGAGACUAAAGAAUGUGGGAGGACAAGUGGGAGCAGGACUGGCAGCCUUGGUCCUCCUGUUUCUGAUGCUGUCUUUACUGCUGUUACUGUGGAGGUACUGGGGGAUUCUGAAACAAAUGAUAAGCAUUGACCAUCAACCACGUGAGAAUCAGGACACGGAUCAAACAUACAGUCUAAUCUCAGCUGUACCAGUCGCAGCUGGUGUAAUCUCUCCAACUGAUCCUACAGGAGAUGAGGCACUGUACAGUGUAAUGACUAGAGUGAAAAGACCAGAACAGCAGGGUGAAACUGCCACCUAUGCCAAAGUGACCAAAACAAAGAAGGAGAAAGAAAAACAGGACCCUGUGUACAGUCUGCUGAACAGAGAGGACAUCGUGAUACUGUAGUAGUGCUAUACUGUAGUGCUAUAUAGUAGUGCUAUACUGUAGUGCUAUAUAGUAGUGCUAUACUGUAGUGCUAUAUAGUAGUGCUAUACAGUAGGGCUAUACAGUAGGGCUAUACAGUAGUGCUAUAUAGUAGGGCUAUACAGUAGGGCUAUACAGUAGUGCUAUAUAGUAGGGCUAUACAGUAGGGCUAUACAGUAGUGCUAUAUAGUAGGGCUAUACAGUAGUACUAUAUAGUAGGGCUAUUCUGUAGUGGUAUAUAGUAGGGCUAUACUGUAGUGCUAUAUAGUAGGGCUAUACUGUAGUGCUGUAUAGUAGUGCUGUACAGUAGGGCUAUACAGUAGUGCUAUAUAGUAGAGCUAUACAGUAGGGCUAUACAGUAGUGCUAUAUAGUAGGGCUAUACAGUAGUACUAUAUAGUAGGGCUAUACUGUAGUGCUAUAUAGUAGGGCUAUACUGUAGUGCUAUAUAGUAGUGCUGUACAGUAGGGCUAUACAGUAGGGCUAUACAGUAGUGCUAUAUAGUAGGGCUAUACAGUAGUGCUAUAUAGUAGAGCUAUACAGUAGUACUAUAUAGUAGGAAUAUACUGUAAUGGUAAAUAGUAGUGCCUUACAGUAGUGCUAUACAGUAGUGCUAUAUAGUAGGGCUAUACUGUAGUGGUAUAUAGUAGUGCCUUACAGUAGUGCUAUACAGUAGUGCUAUACUGUAGUGCUAUACAGUAGUGCCUUAUAGUUGUGCUAUACAGUAAUGCUGUACAGUUCUGCUAUACUGUAGUGCUAUACAGUAGUAUAUGACAUGUGAAUAGAGUCUGGGGAUAUUAAUACUGUACACCUAGGUGUAUGCCAAUAUGUGUUUUUUAAAUACUGAUUUGGUUUUGAACUUCAUUUGAUGCAGUCUGCGGUCUGGGUGCUAUCUUUGAGCCUAGCAAAGAUGUAGAUUACAUUAUUUGACCUUUUAUUCAAUAAAAACAAACCAAGCUUGAAUAAAAGCAAUAUUAAUUCAAACAAAGAGUUAGCCAAUUUUUUCCACAGGUUUGUUAUGCCAACAUGAAAAUAUGAACUUAGACACACAAAUGAAUAAUAAGACAAGACAGAGACAUACAUAGAGAAAGAGAUGUGGACAAAGGAGAAUAUGUGGCAGGCUAAUGUGGUUACAGUGUUUCUAUAGAAAGCUCAGUCUAAUGGGAGAGGGAGACAGAGCUUAGUAAUAGACAAGUCGCCAUCAUCAUGUCUCCCAGCAGAGGGGGAGAGGGGAGGAGGAGGAGAGAGGAGGGAAAGAGUGGGAGGCUGGCUGCACCAUACAGUAUUACCACUUCUCCACACACACCAUGACCCAUGGGCUAGGCAGAAGAGAUUUUUUUCCUUCCAGCAUUUUCCAUUCGCUGUCACUCUCACAAGGCGUCGUUAUCAUAGACCUGUGUCUCACACCAGAUGGCGUCACUCCUACACAACGCUCGUCCCUCAACCCAUCAGUGCUGAUGGCUGUCCCGCUAUCUGGCGUGAGACAAUGCAUCAUAGACAUGAUGGAGUUAUGUAGUAUCAGGGGUAUGGAUGCUGUUUAUUAGAGAAGCUCUCAACACACACAUACAGAUACACACAUGCUCCUCCACCCCUGUUAACCCUGCCAUUAAACCUGGAGCAACAGUCUGAAGUUACCUUAGACGUACGGCGGAGGCAGACUCGCUGCUAGCCACUGUCUGUGGGGAGAGAACGAGAGAGAACAUCAGUGUGCUGGAUCUAUGUAGGUAGAGCUGCUAGGGCAGGGCUUGCAGUGUAGACACUUGGCUGUGGAUAGGCUACAGGCAGUGUGCUGCUGGGGAAGAUACCUGGUAGUAAUUAGUGAUCAGACUCUUCUGGGAGAGAGAGGAGAGAGAGGGGGGCUGGCUUUCUGGAGGAGGUAGAGGAGGAGGAAAAGGAGGAGAGAGAGGAGAGAGAGCGUGCUACCGUUCAUUUAGAGGCAGCAGCAAGAGACUGAAGCAUCGUCUGUCUGAGCUGAGGCAGGGCUGCAUGGAAUGGAGGAAUACUAGAGAGCAGCGCUGCUUGUCUGUCUGUCAACACACUCUGUCUGGACUCUCACGCUGCAUUCAGGAUAGAUUGUGUGUUGAGUGGAUGAUAGGAAUAGAGGAUGCAGGUCUGAUAUGCACAGUAUGUCUGUUUGUGAUCAUAUGUAAAUAGGUUUGUGUGUUCACUACAUCCAAGCAGGUGAGUGUAAUGUGUUCGCAUGUACACUGUUGUGCAUUUGUGAAAUGUGUAAGAUGAAAUGUGUGUGUUUGCAAAUGUGCAAAUGAGUUUCUAUGUGUAUACAAUGCACCCCUGUAUUCAUGUUUGUGUGUACAUGUAAGGUAUCUAAACGGAUGUAUACAUAUCCCAUAACUUCCUCUGUUUGUGCACUGUGACGUGAUU
rnacentral:lncRNA from 1 species